rnacentral:rRNA from 1 species
CCUACGGGUGGCAGCAGUGAGGAAUAUUGGUCAAUGGACGAGAGUCUGAACCAGCCAAGUAGCGUGAAGGAAGACUGCCCUACGGGUUGUAAACUUCUUUUAUAAAGGAAUAAAACGAGGCACGUGUGCCUUUUUGCAUGUACUUUAUUAAUUAGGAGCGGCUAACUCCGUGCCAGCAGACGCGGUAAGACGGAGGAUCCGAGCGGUAUCCGGAUGUAUUGGGUUGAAAGGGAGCGUAGAUGGGUUGUUAAGUCAGUUGUGAAAGGUUGCGGCUCAACCGUAAAAUUGCAAUUGAUACUGGCAGUCUUGAGUACAGUUGAGGUAGGCGGAAUUCGUGGUGUAGCGGUGAAAUGCUUAGAUAUCACGAAGAACCCCGAGUGCGAAGGCAGCUUACUAAACUGUGACUGACAUUGAUGCUCGAAAGUGAGGGUAUCAAACAGGAUUAGAUACCCCUGUAGUC